rnacentral:rRNA from 1 species
CCUACGGGAGGCAGCAGUGGGGAAUAUUGCACAAUGGGGGGAACCCUGAUGCAGCGACGCCGCGUGAGUGAAGAAGGAUUUCGGUAUGUAAAGCUCUAUUAGCAGGGAAGAAAAUGACGGUACCUGACUAAGAAGGCCCGGCUAACUACGUGCCAGCAGCCGCGGUAAUACGUAGGGGGCAAGCGUUAUCCGGAUUUAUUGGGUGUAAAGGGAGCGUAGACGGUAUUGUAAGUCAGAGGUGAAAGCCCAAGGCUCAACCAUGGGACUGCAUUGGAAACUGUAAAACUGGAGUGCAGGAGAGGUAGGCGGAAUUCCUGGUGUAGCGGUGAAAUGCGUAGAUAUGAGGAGGAACACCAGUGGCGAAGGCGGCUUACUGGACUGUAACUGACGUUGAGGCGCGAAGGCGUGGGGAGCAAACAGGAUUAGAUACCCGAGUAGUC